GCUAUACCCGCAGCCCUCGGGAACGCCAAGUCCCUGAAGUUCCUGCGUUUGGAUCACAAUCGCCUGACGGGGCCGAUCCCAAGGGAGCUUGCUGGGCUGCCCAAUCUUGGAAUUGUAGAUUUCUCCAACAAUGACCUUUGUGGCGCGAUCCCGACAGACGGAGCAUUCCAGA